UGGCAUGCUGCAGUCCAUGGGGUCUCAAAGAGUUGGACACGACUGAGCAACUGAACAACAACCUGUUUGCUUACCAAGUGAAUGAGUGGAUAAAGAAACUGACACCCAGCAGAAUUGAGAGACAUGUCCAGGGUCAUUGCAUGAGUUAAAAUCAGAGCUGGAAAUAGAAAAAACAAUCUCAUUUGUAAUUUAGGGUUUUUUCCUUUAAACCCACACUGGUAUAAUAAACGGUAUAUAACAAAAUG